AUGAAGCCGACGCGGGCUGCGCCGAUCGGGCCCUGGAACGGUGCGCCGGAGAGGGUCAGCGCAGCGGAGGAAGCCACCAGCGCGAGAAUGUCCGGAUCGUUUUCCAUGUCGUGCGACAGAACCGUCACGAUGACCUGGGUUUCGUUACGCCAGCCGUCAACGAACAGCGGACGGAUCGGGCGGUCGAUCAGGCGGGAAACCAGCGUUUCCUUUUCGGUGGGCCGGCCUUCGCGCUUGAAGUAGCCGCCGGGAAUGCGGCCGGCUGCGUAGGUCUUUUCCUGAUAGUCCACGGNNNNNNNNNNNNNAUCGACACCUUCGCGCGGCGACUUGGCGGCGACGACGGUGGCAAGCACGA
rnacentral:misc_RNA from 1 species